UACGUAGGGAGCAAGCGUUAUCCGGAAUUACUGGGUGUAAAGGGCGCGUAGGCGGGUCUGCAAGUCAGAUGUGAAAUGCCGGGGCUUAACCUCGGAGCUGCAUUUGAAACUGUAGGUCUUGAGUGAUGGAGAGGCAGGCGGAAUUCCCGGUGUAGCGGUGGAAUGCGUAGAUAUCGGGAGGAACACCAGUGGCGAAGGCGGCCUGCUGGACAUUAACUGACGCUGAGGCGCGAAAGCGUGGGGAGCAAACA
rnacentral:rRNA from 1 species